rnacentral:rRNA from 1 species
AACGAACGCUGGCGGCAGGCCUAACACAUGCAAGUCGAGCGCCCCGCAAGGGGAGCGGCGGACGGGUGAGUAACGCGUGGGAACGUGCCCCAAGGUACGGAAUAGCCCCGGGAAACCGGGGGUAAUACCGUAUGUGCCCUACGGGGGAAAGAUUUAUCGCCUUGGGAUCGGCCCGCGUUGGAUUAGGUAGUUGGUGGGGUAAUGGCCUACCAAGCCGACGAUCCAUAGCUGGUUUGAGAGGAUGAUCAGCCACACUGGGACUGAGACACGGCCCAGACUCCUACGGGAGGCAGCAGUGGGGAAUCUUAGACAAUGGGCGCAAGCCUGAUCUAGCCAUGCCGCGUGAGCGAUGAAGGCCUUAGGGUUGUAAAGCUCUUUCAGGGGGGAAGAUAAUGACUGUACCCCCAGAAGAAGCCCCGGCUAACUCCGUG